GAUGAACGCUAGCGGCAAGCUUAAUACAUGCAAGUCGAGGGGCAGCACAGGUAGCAAUACUGGGUGGCGACCGGCAAACGGGUGCGGAACACGUACACAACUUACCUUAGAGUGGGGGAUAGCCCAGGGAAACUUGGAUUAAUACCCCAUAAAACAGGGGGCCCGCAUGGGCAUAUUGUUAAAGAUUUAUCGCUUUAAGAUGGGUGUACGUAUGAUUAGGUAGUUGGUAGGGUAAAGGCCUACCAAGCCGACGAUCAUUAACUGGUGUGAGAGCACGACCAGUCACACGGGCACUGAGACACGGGCCCGACUCCUACGGGAGGCAGCAGUAAGGAAUAUUGGUCAAUGGACGGAAGUCUGAACCAGCCAUGCCGCGUGAAGGAUGAAGGUCCUCUGGAUUGUAAACUUCUUUUAUAGGGGGCGAAAAAGGGCCAUUCUUGGUCAACUGACGGUACCCUAUGAAUAAGCACCGGCUAACUCCGUGCCAGCAGCCGCAGUAA
rnacentral:rRNA from 1 species